rnacentral:rRNA from 1 species
CUCCUAAAUGUUCUGGGCCGCACGCGCACCACACUGACAAAGGCACUGAGUGUGCCUUGUGCGAUCUGCUUGGAGACGAGUGGGUAAUCUGUGAAACCUUGUCGUGUUGGGGAUAGAUGAUUGCAAUUAUUCGCCUUAAACGCGGAAUGCCUAGUAAUGGUUUGUCAUCAGCGAGCCGUGACUAUGUCCCUGCCAUUUGUACACACCGCCCGUCGUUGCUAUCGAUUGGCUGUUUGACAGAGGACUUAGGAGAGGGCCUUGUCUUCGGACAUGGGCUUCGGCUGUUGCCUUCGAAUCUGUCCAAUGUCUAGCAGCUAGAGAAAGCAAAAGUCGUANCA